CAUUCAAAACCCGAGAGUUCAAACUCUCAAAGAUAAUCGCGCCAUCGCCACAUAUCGCGGAAUGCAGCGUGCUGUAAUCAGGAUUCGAUUCCCGGAUUCCUCGAAUCCCGCGGAAUCGAAUCGCUUCAGGACGACCGAUUCCAGUAGGUGAAUUCCGAGGGAGAGCGAUGUCGUCGCGGGAUUCGCGGGAUUCGCGGGAGAAACGGAAAUAGAAAUGAUGAGUGGAAACGAGCGAGCGAGUCUCGGAGUGCUGCACUCUCGAUUCCGCGAUUCGAUGUCUCGCAGCGUCGAUCCGCCAUAUUCCACGCGGAUAGCUCGGAUUACCGCCAAUUCUCUGCGGGAGAGCGCCGUCCUGCCGUGCGAAGCAGAAACAAUUGCCGUCGAUCGGCGCGCGUGGAAAUCCCUCGUGCGAUCUCGCGUCACGCGUCUCGUCUCUCCUCGACCCGGCGACCCGUCUCCAGGAGGUAAUGCUGCCUUGAUUACGUCACCACUAUGCCCGACCAAUACUGUUUCGUGUGUGCGAGCAACGAGGGUGUUUUCCUCGACGUCACGCCGGAUAACCGGGACACGUUCGGCGACCAGGUCAAGACGUGCUUUUCUCACAAGGUUAAUGAGAGCAUCGAGCUAUCAAACAAGAUAUGUUACAAGUGUGCAUAUGAAUUGGAUCAGUGCACUAAAUUUGUAAAAAAGUAUAGGAAGUCACACGAGACAACAGGAUCGAAAGCCACAGCGUCAAUGUCAUGCUGCUUUCUGUGCUACGAAUUAGUGGAAAGUGACCGUAUCUUUGAUAUUACCAAGGACAAUAACGUGAUAUUUAGUCCUUUACGGAAGAUCCGCAGUAUUUUCAAUGAUGAUAUCAACAAGAAUAACUGCAAUUCGAAAUUAAUAUGCUUGACGUGUCGAUAUAAUUUGGAUGUCUUGUAUGAUCUAAAAAGAGUGUUUCAAGAAUCAAUUUCCAAUUUAAAAGCUUUAAUUAAUGGAGAAAUAAAUUAUUUAAAUUUUCCAAAGAUACACACAGAUGUUGUAAAUCGCAAAACGACCAUUACCACAUUUCCAGAUAUUACAGUUUAUGGUUUAGUAAAUUCCGAUAGUGACAGUGACGAGAACAUGGCGCAUAGCAAACGACGUUUUCGUGGCAAUCAACAUACUCGUGGCAAACAACGGGGUAGACCAAGAAAAUUGGGAGGCAAUGCUAAGUCAAAAGUCAGGAGUUGUGACGAGUGUCAUAAUACGGUUGCAAACGAUGUUGAUAUGUACAGAUUUCAUCACACGGGUUUAACAGUAUGUAAGAAUUGUUGGAUAACGAUGGAUCCAGGUAUCAAGACUCAGCGACGGUCUCGUCAGACGCAAUUUGCAGGAAUAAAAUUGUGCACGGUCUUUUUGACGGAUGUUCUGAAUCAAGAAUUAUGUAAAAAGGAGAAGGAAACGGAGAAAGAGAAAGAUGAUGUAUCUCAUGUUACAUCGAGCGACAAUUCACAGGAGGAAAUAAAAUCUGAAAGCAGUCCUGCGAGUGUCUCGUCUAAAAUGAGGAAUCAUGCUGUUAACGGUAAAGCGCGACGAGGAAGGAAACGGCGAUUCAAUGUAGGAAACCGCUCAAAGGAUGACAUUGAAAGCACACCGACGAAAACGACGAGGUUGAGUAAAACGCGCGUAAACGAAGAAAAAACGGCAAAAGCUUCAUUCUCUGAUGCAGAAUCUAGUACCCAAUCAAUGAAAAAGCAAUCGCGUAAAAGAAUACUCAAUGAUCCAAGCUCGGAUUCCGAUAAUUUUCUAGAGCAAAAAGAGACACGUGAAAGUAAAUCAAAUGACGGUGUGGAAAAAUCGAGUAGGAAAAAACAGAAAAUCACUCUUGAAGGAGAGACCCUGGAUGCAGACUCUAGUGAAGAGUCAUUCUACGAAAAUAAUGUUAAUUUAAAAAGUAAGAUAAGAAGUACAACGAGUUCAUCGACUGGGUCUACGCAAAAAGAAGGUGAUAAAAGCACUCGCGGAAGAACGAGAUCAUCUUCUAUAUCCAGUACAGAGAUGACAGUUUCGACGAAAUUUAAAAGCCCGAAAUCUGUAUCGCAAUCAGAAGGUACGGCAAAAUAUACUUGCAACAAGUGUAACAAAAAAUUUGACAAUAAAUUGUCCAGUGCAAAACAUAAACUGACACACUUCAAGCAAGCUGCGUUAAAGCUAGAAAAGUUAACUGUUCCAAGUGUUAUGGAAAAGCGGGAAACGGAAAACGACUCGCAAGACGGCAAGAUCUCGAAAAAGACGGUAUCAUUUUCUGAUAGUAUUGUAUCCGCCGAAAAACAAACUGACGAUCCGGAAGAUGUUGCUAUCAACAUCGAGGAUGAUACCGAUGAUGAAGAAUUAUUGAGUUUAUCCAAUCAAGAAGACGCAAAAAUAAAAGAGACAAGCAAUGAAGAGGCUAGCAUAGUUAACAAAUCAGACGCAUUAAAGGAAGAAUGCGUAAAAGAAUUUGUAAACGAUGGCGAUGCUAAAACAAAAGAAUCUGAACAGUUUGAAGAAUUUAAUGUUUUGGACGAAACAGUAGAGAUGGAGAGUGGAGAUGGAGGUAAAAAUACAGAGGAUAAUAAUAUAGAGAAAAAAGAUGCGGUAAAAGAUAAAGAUGAAACAUCGAGGAAUAAAGACAGUAAAUCCGAAAAUAAAGAUAUGGAUAUCCAGGAAAUUAUUGAUGAUUCUGCAAAAGAUAUGAAUAUGGAUGUAGAGAAAGAAUCAAAUGUAGAAAUAGUGUGUUCUCCAGAAAAAGAAAAGUCUAUUAGCGAAUGUAAUAAUGAGGAUAAUAAGAAGGAUCCUCACGAAGAGACAACGCAAGAGAGUGAAAUGGUUAAUUUAUCAACUCAGGACACAACUAAGGUUGAUAAUAGAUAUAAUGAUGAUGAUAAUAGAUAUAAUGAUAACAGACGUAACGAAAGUUACGAAAAUAAUUUAGAAAAUAAUUGUGAAGAAGAUAAGGAUGGAAGAGAGGAUCCAGAACUAAUACAAUGUGAUUUAACGGAUGAGUUUUUAGAAAAAGAUGCAAAAGAGCCAGAGGAAAACACGCAAAAUAUUUUAUCAGAUAUCGUUGACGAAACAAUCGCUCAUGAAAGUGAUAAAACUUUAGAUGACUUAUUGAUCCUGUCUGAAGACAAGAUUGAAGUAUCAGAGAAACAACAAAGUAGAUCUGAAGAAGAAAGUAUGGAAGUCGAAUUGAUGAAAGAUAUCGACGAACUUAAUAGCACGAAAGAUAUUAUUCAAUCAGAUCUUUCAAAUGGUAACGACAAACAUGAAGAAAAAGAUGACGACAUUGCAAUAGUUCCAGUAAAUAGUAACAUCAUUGAUGUGAAUGAAGAUGAUGACAUUGUUCCAGUAAACAACGAUAACAAUGAGUACAGAGAAAAAUCUGAAGAAAUCACGGAAAAAUUAAUUACAACAGAUGAUAUUAAGGAAAAAAAGAAAUUUGAGGAAGAAAUAAAGGAGCUCGAGAAAUUAGUUGAGGAUAAUGCGAUGAAUAACAGACACGAAUUACAGGAAAACUCAAAUUAUCUCUUGGACAAUAAUUCUGCGGAUGCGGCAAACGAAAUAUUGAAAGAAGUAUUUGAACUCGCUGCAGUCGAAGUUCAGCAACGAGAAGAAAGUCAUAGCACGAAAAACUUGAGCGACGUCGAAAUGGAAACACUGGAAAACAUAUCGCGUGAGAUACGCAAGAGUGCUGAUAUGCCGUCUUUGGAUCCGAUUAGCGUUAUGGAAAUAGACGAUGAUAAUGACAUUGUGUUAAACUAAUUGUGCCUGUGGCAAUCACUUUGUACAUUCUAUUUUACUUUUACGUGAAAAAAUUUACUUCGCCAUACGUGCAAUGCGUAUCUAUUUACAACUAUGGAAGAAUUAAAAAACCAAUGUGAAUUAUUGGAUUUCCACGGAUGUAUAUUUUAUCGCAAACUUGUUCAUCAACAAUGCUAUUCAAUGAAUAUUUUAAGUUCAAAAAACACUUCUGCGAUUUUUCCAUUGGCAAAGCAUGGUUAUUGCCGUCAGAUCGGCCGUCCCGCACUGGAGUACAAGAUGGAACAUAUUCCUCGUCGAUGAUUUCUCGACUUAGUAAAAAGACGAAGAAAUGUUAAAUGCGUUGCACUUUACAAUUUUGCUUACCUUUCGAGACUCCGGCGAUAGCUCAUGCUUUAUCAGCGUUAUUACACAAACUAAGCUCGUCAUAUAGAUAAAACGAUUUUUCUAAAUCGUCGAGAAGUCGCAAUAUCCGGCCUCUUCUAGAAAAAACAAGCACGCUUUUAUAUUGUUAACUAAUUUAAAGAAAUAUCACGUAAAUGAGAUCGCUGAUCAUGUCUGUACAUAAAAUUAGAUAUAUUUUGUACGAUGUAAGAAUUCAAGGAAAUGUAUAGAAUAGAAUUCAAGGAA